UCUAUUCCUUUCCUCCUUCACCAUUUGCCUCUCCCCAGGUUUCCCUUUGCCCUCCCUGCCUACCCCCUUUCCCUGCUUCUCUUUUCCCAUCCAUUCUCCCUCCCUUUAGCCUGUCUCUCCAUCUCUUUCCUCCCUUUAGCCUGUCUCUCCAUCUCUUUCCUCCCUUUAGCCUGUCUCUCCAUCUCUUUCCUCCCUUUAGCCUGUCUCUCCAUCUCUUUCCUCCCUUUAGCCUGUCUCUCCAUCUCUUUCCUCCCUUUAGCCUGUCUCUCCAUCUCUUUCCUCCCUUUAGCCUGUCUCUCCAUCUCUUUCCUCCCUUUAGCCUGUCUCUCCAUCUCUUUCCUCCCUUUAGCCUGUCUCUCCAUCUCUUUCCUCUCCCCUAAUUUACUCCUUCUCUCAAGGCAUCAGAAUUUUCCCCCCCUCCUUCCAUUCUUCAUUACAUUCAGUGGCUUUAACACAAUAUCCGUCUGAUUGGAGUGAAAUUGACCACCUAUUGGCCGAGCUGAACAAAAGGAGAGAGAAUUUUCAGACCCCCCCCCGGCUCGGUGGCCACACUUGCCGUUGGGAGCCAGACGAGAGGCUUCUCGCCGUCACUGAUCAUUAAAGGCAACGCUGGGCUCUCAUGGUGGAGCCAUCACACUAAACUGAACAAGAUGCAGGAUUACUCAGUGCCAGGGAUUUUAUUUCUGCUCAGCAAUGUCUCUCGUUGGUUCAGCUCCCAUUAGGCAACACUGUGCUAAAAUGGUGCCUGAGAGCUCAGUGAAUAACGAGAGCUGCCGCCGCUGCACGGUUGCUGUCCUGUCGGCAGCUCGACGCAUUUCAAGCAGAAGCCGUUUCUUGCAGGUGAACUAAACACCUGCUCCCAGGCUCCGACACUUGCAGAUGUUCCCCGAGUCACUCCCUGCGCCGACGCUUCUCCCACCAACCUUUCAACCGCCGCCGACGCCGGCCGAGACACAGAAUGGUGUCCGUUACACACAGCCAUUGUGCUAAUUGCAGAGGUGUCGAGCGUGAAAAAAAAAAAAAAAAGACUGUUUAAAGGGAAAGUAAGCUUAAAUAUAAAAUGGAAUUGAUGUAGCAAUAAAAGAAUUAUAUAUAUAUAUAUUAAUUGCAGAGGUGCUUAUGAAGUGAUAUUUAGUUUUUUUUAUUUGUUGCAGAAUUAAUUACAUGUUCCUGAUGCUUUCAAGUUUAUUGAUUAUAAAUGGUUAACUGCUUGUUUGCCUGCAAGGGGGUUAAUCUCCAUUUCCCAUGACAUUUCGUACUCUGUGCUGCCAUUAGGGUGUUGUAGUUCAGCCCACUGUCUGUGCCCCCCCCCAUAAAUUGCCAUUAGUGGACUAGUCCAGCUCACUGCUUGAGUUACAACUGCCCCAGCCCCUCAAGGGUGCCAUCAGUUUGCUCUGUUCCCACCCACUGCUUUAUUAUUGGCAGUUUAUUGACCAAUCUAUAGUCUGCCUGACAGAUAUAUGGCCCCAAAUUGGCUGAUCCUGAUUUUUAUUCUGUAACCCUGUAAAUUUGUUAAAUUGUGUGUUACACAUUAAUGCAAAAUGCUAUUUAAAUAAAUGCUCAGCUUUG